rnacentral:rRNA from 1 species
AGUGGAGAGUUUGGAUCAUGGCUCAGGACGAACGCUGGCGAGCGUGCUUAACACAUGCAAGUCGAGCGGUAAGGCCCUUCGGGGUACACGAGCGGCGAACGGGUGAGUAACACGUGGGUGAUCUGUCUCGCACUUCGGGAUAAGCCUGGGAAAGUGGGUAUAAUGCCGGAUAUGGCCUUUCAGUGCAUGCUGUUGGGUGGAAAGAUUUAUCGGUGCGAGAUGGGCCCGCGGCAAAUCAGUUUGUUGGCGGGGUAACGGCCCACCAAGGCGACGACGGGUAGCCGACCUGAGAGGGUGACCGGCCACACUGGGACUGAGACACGGCCCAGACUCCUACGGGAGGCAGCAGUGGGGAAUAUUGCACAAUGGGCGGAAGCCUGAUGCAGCGACGCCGCGUGAGGGAUGACGGCCUUCGGGUUGUAAACCUCUUUCGACAGGGACGAAGCGCAAGUGACGGUACCUGUAGAAGAAGCACCGGCCAACUACGUGCCAGCAGCCGCGGUAAUACGUAGGGUGCGAGCGUUGUCCGGAAUUACUGGGCGUAAAGAGCUUGUAGGCGGUUUGUCGCGUCGUCCGUGAAAACUCCGGGCUCAACCCCAAGCUUGCGGGCGAUACGGGCAGACUUGAGUACUUCAGGGGAGACUGGAAUUCCUGGUGUAGCGGUGAAAUGCGCAGAUAUCAGGAGGAACACCGGUGGCGAAGGCGGGUCUCUGGGAAGUAACUGACGCUGAGAAGCGAAAGCUUAGCGC